rnacentral:rRNA from 1 species
CACGUAGGCGGAUCUUUAAGUCAGGGGUGAAAUCCUGGAGCUCAACUCCAGAACUGCCUUUGAUACUGAGGACCUUGAGUUCGGGAGAGGUGAGUGGAACUGCGAGUGUAGAGGUGAAAUUCGUAGAUAUUCGCAAGAACACCAGUGGCGAAGGCGGCUCACUGGCCCGAUACUGACGCUGAGGUGCGAAAGCGUGGGGAGCAAACA